rnacentral:rRNA from 1 species
UACGAAGGGGGCUAGCGUUGCUCGGAAUCACUGGGCGUAAAGGGUGCGUAGGCGGGUCUUUAAGUCAGGGGUGAAAUCCUGGAGCUCAACUCCAGAACUGCCUUUGAUACUGGCGAUCUCGAGUCCGGAAGAGGUGAGUGGAACUCCUAGUGUAGAGGUGGAAUUCGUAGAUAUUAGGAAGAACACCAGUGGCGAAGGCGGCUCACUGGUCCGGUACUGACGCUGAGGUGCGAAAGCGUGGGGAGCAAACAGG